GGCCAUUCUUGGGUGACAACACCUGGAAUCGGGCUCUUUCCUCUCUGGUUCUGGGUGCGUCACCUGAGAACUGCA
rfam:Myotis lucifugus cont2.71135, whole genome shotgun sequence.